rnacentral:misc_RNA from 1 species
GAUAUUGCAAUAGCAGCCUUUGCAUCCUCAGCCUCAAGUCGCUUAAGAGCUCGGCUGAUUUUUUUAUCACACUCAACAAUGAGGCGAUCUAUAACAUCCUCCAACUCUCUGUCAUAGUUAUCAAUACCCUUUGCCCUUGCCUCUUCAUAUUCUUUCCUCAGCUGCAGUGAAUGGACCUUAGGACAUGGCCCCAUAUCCAUUUUCGUUAAUUGGAAGAGUUCAUGGGGGCAAAGGCCAACCAAGUACAUGCGACACACAUCACG